AUCUGAUCCUAGUGAAAGGUACAAAGUCUCUGAGGUAUUUCAAGAAACCUCUGCCGCUCGCCUUUCUGUUUGUCGAACUUGGGCUUUCAGUGAUGGAGGAGAUACAGCAUUACAAAUAUCACCUGGUACCUAUGAUGAACGUGUUUUUCAGGUAACUAUAUUAGGAUUUAACUUAUGUAAAUUGACACAGGAAAAAAAAUUAUACGAUAAGUUUUUAUUUUAACAUGUUGUAGCAUAACAACUCUUUUUUUCUAAGUUAAAUCCCACUUGUCAUGGACUAUUAAUAUAUACCGGCAAUUCUCUUUUAAGUGACCUGAUAGUAAGAUUCUGACUAAAUUAAACUCAUUUUUUUAGUAGGACAAGUUUCUUCUUUUUAUUUUAUGUAUAGUUGUACACAUUAAUGGAGAUACUUUAUGAAAUUCAGGGAUUGGAUUUUGUGAUCUCGGAAGCGAGGAAAUAUGGGAUUCGCUUAAUAUUGAGCUUGGUCAACAAUUAUAAUGAUUUUGGAGGGAGAGCUCAAUAUGCUCAAUGGGCACGAAAUGCAGGAGUCCGGAUUAACAGUGAAGAUGAAUUCUACACUCAUCCGGUGCUCAAAGAUUAUUACAAGAAUCAUGUUAGGGUAUGACAAUAUAUCUUUUUUAAUAAUCUUUGGCUGUUUGUAGUUGAAUCUGGAGCAAGUAACUAACAAUUCUGUGAUUUUGUUGCGCAGAAAAUUGUAACAAGGUUGAAUACUAUCACUGGAAUGGCUUAUAGGGAUGAUUCAACAAUAAUGGCAUGGGAACUUAUGAAUGAGCCUCGUUGUAAAGCUGAUUAUUCUGGGAAAAUAGUAAAUGUGAGUAAAAACAUAGGGAAGAAAUAGUUUGUUAUUACCACAUGUGACGUCUUUUGGCUUCUAAUAUUUUGCAAAUUAUAUAGGCAUGGGUUCAAGAAAUGGCAACUUUCGUGAAAUCAAUAGACAGGAAGCAUUUGCUGGAGAUAGGAAUGGAGGGAUUCUAUGGUGAUUCAAUGCCUGAAAAGAAGCAAUUUAAUCCUGGUUACCAAGUUGGAACAGACUUUAUUAGUAGCCAUCUUAUCAAAGAGAUUGAUUUUGCCACUAUUCAUGCAUAUACUGACCAAUGGUAUUUAAGCAAUUCUUCUAGACCUAAAAUUUAUAUAUAUAUAUAUAUAUAUUACUCCCUCCAUUUCAGAUUGUGUGAACAUGUUUGUCGGAUUUUAAAAAAAAGCCUUUUAGCUAGAAAAUGUGAUCUUAAACAAGCUAUGACAUUUUUAUGGCUCUAAAAUUAUGAUAUUAAGGGUAAAAUAUGAAGUUUAACGUUAAAAUAUUUUUAAAAAUAUACAAAUCUGAUUUUCAUAUAUAAAGACUAAAAAGGAAAGCGUGAUAUAAGAUGGAACAGGUGGAAUAAUUUUUAUAUACUAAUAAAGUGAAAGAUUUCAUAACACUAUCAGGUAAGAUGACUUAAUAUAACUUUUCACAGAAAAUAGAAUUAAUAACCUAGAAAAUAAAGGCAUUUCACGUAGAACACACUAGUUAAAAUGCUUUAGUUGUAUAAAAAAAAGUUAUAUUAUCAGUGUGUAUAAUUUAAAUCCUUUAAAAUAUGAUACGAGGUUUGUGAUCGCAGGUUGUCGGGACAAGAUGAUAAUGCUCAAAUGGCAUUCAUGCAAAGGUGGAUAACAAGUCAUUGGCAAGAUUCAAGCACAAUACUAAAGAAGCCAUUAGUCCUAGCUGAAUUUGGAAAGUCAAGCAAAGAUCCAGGAUUUAGUGUAAAUGCAAGAGAUACAUACAUGAGUAGUGUAUACAGAAACAUAUACAACUAUGCAAAAUCAGGGGGAACUAUGGGAGGGAGCUUAGUAUGGCAAUUAGUGGCACAAGGGAUGGAGAAUAUUGAUGAUGGAUACUCAAUUAUUUUAGCACAAAAUCCAUCAACUGCUGGAAUUAUCUCUGGCCAAUCACAUGCCAUGACAACAUUAGCUCAUUUGGUUAAUAAUUGAUAGAAGUCGAAAACAUAGCCAUCAUCCAUUUUGGUACAAGACAUGGAAGAAAAGCAUUUCCAUAGUUGCUUAUAUUAGAUCAAAUUAUUCUUUAAUUUAAUGAUGCAAGAAAAUGAAGAAGAAUUAUAUAAGCUUAUAAUGCCCAAUUUAUUUUUAGUUACAAUUGGAGAGUGGAAUGCACAUUUUCAGAAAAGAGAGGUUGAUUAGUUUCUUGAAUGUAUUUUGUUCACAUCUUCUGGAUGAAAUGAAAAGUAGUGAAGUCAUAAUUUAUAGUUUGAUUAUUGUUUGUUUUGUCAAUAUCUGACUGGUCUUUUCCUUAAGCUAUAAAUGAGUUAGUCAAAUAACUUGAAUCAAUCACUUUCCAUAAGUAAAACCGACAGCUUUAAGUUCCAUUUAAGCUCAUCUCAGAUAAUGACUUCGUUUGGAAAGACAUAAAACUGUCUAUUCGUAAAAUCAAUAUCAGCAUGACUAGAUGUCGAAGCGAGCUCAAAAUGAACAUGCUGACCCAUUUGGAGUGUAGGAUCUGAAAUAUAUAACACAUAUUAAUGAAACUCAAUUUAAACAAGUAAUAAACUAAUAGUGUUUAUUAUUGAAUUCUGUUUUAUUUCUUGAACCAAGUCUUUUUCCCUUUGUUGCCCAUGAGAAUUGAGACUGUGUUUUAAGCGUAAAGUUGAGAUCUUAACAUUCCACGCGUCCAAAUUUCAACUUUGAAACAACAUUUAUGUUAUAGUUAUUCUCUUUCUCCAUGGAUAAGCUUGUCAUACUUAAAAAUCAACAACAUAAUCUGAUAUCCCAUCGGUAAUCAUACAGUCAUUGCUUUGUCCUUUUCUAAGAUCGAAAAAGCUGUUUCUCAUAACCAAAAAUAUUCUUUCAAAACCAUGCUGUUAUCUUCUUUUCGGGGGAAGUGUGAGUGGAGGUAGUAUAGGAAAGUAGUAGAAAACAAACACAAGCAACAUGGAACAGUUAAGCCACUCAGUAAAUCUUGGUAGCAAGAUUUUAUUCAAGUUGUUUAACUGAUCAUACAGCAAAUCAGACUCAUUUCUAAGGCAUCAGGCAGAAGUGACAAUACCAGAAAGAUAGCAGUUAACUGCGGUCAUGAAAAUGCACCGCCCACAAUAUUUUGCAUUCCGGCUGAAAAUUGUCCCAUGCAUAAGCGGUUUUCCUCGUACAUAUCUGAUGCAUGCAUAUAACUGCAGACUUUUGUCCUCUAUCUUAUCUACUGAAUGAUAAGCUUACUCGCUAUAUUGAUCAAAUAUUACAAGAACACGAGUUACUACGCCUCCCACAUCAUACUCCAACUUCUGGAAAAAGUUGUCCAGACAAUGCUGCAAAGGCCUUUUAACACAGUAAAUUUUAAACGCUAGUUAAACUGAUGAGAAGAAUACAUCAAGUAAGGCUCAUAUAAGAGGAAAUCAGUCGAUUUCACAAAACCAAGAGCUCAAACUCUAGAAAAAGACUGAACUCUGCCAUCUCUUUCAUUAUUUCGUAUACCCGUCGUUGAGAGCCAAUUGCUUUUACAAAUACAAUUAACACGACGUAACCCUUGUUCAACAAAAUAUAUGAAUAUUUUUUAAGAAUAAAUAUGCCAAACAAGGAAAACAAAAACUCAGCAAGCUAUUCUACAAAAGGAGUCACUCUACAACAAUCUUCGCCUACCCAGGCAAAUAUUGUUGGAGAAGGAGAGUAAUAUUUAGAAUGAGAAGGAAAGAGUUUAGGAAAUGUAGAGAA
rnacentral:lncRNA from 1 species